CUUCAUUCGAGAAGAAAGUGGCAUGUCAAGAGCUCUUUAUAGAAAGAGGAGAAAAAUGAAUUCAGAAAUAAAGUGGAUAUAUGUUGCUUGCUGCCUCAAGUUCACCUGCCUUGCUGCUGGGUCCACCCAACCGGCCUCCUUUGCUAAGGUCUGAAUGAGGCUGGGAGAAGAAAGGAAGAAAGGAGAAGAUGCUGAGUAAAGGUCAGAGAUACAGGUGGUGGAAGGUAUUAGACUUGAGCGAAGAUCCCCCUGACCUUUAGAGCAAGGCCAAGCCUUCCAUGGCAGGACUUUCUCAGGAUGUCACUAAAUUUGUGCUCGAUAAAGCUCUUUGGUUAAGAGGAUGGAGGAAGAACAUCUAAAUAUACCAGAGAAGAACUAUGGAAAUAGAGGAUAAGACAGAAGAAUUGCAUAAAAAAAAAACCAACCGAGCAUCUCAGUUACGGAAACUGUGUGGAACACGUUUUUGUUUCAAUACGAAGUUUUAUUCUCUCUGUGAUGCGAAUCAGGGAGCAUUUUACAGUGUCUGGGUGGGAAAUGAGAAAAGAACAGGGGUUUCUCGUUUUGGUCUUUGCUCUGGCUGAGGCAUACAAGGGUGGCUGGGAAGAGUUUCCUGUAGGUCUGUUCUGGCGUAAGAGCUUUGGGAAGUUAAGUGAUUGGGAAGGGCAUACAGGGGUUCACAACUUUUCUUCUUUUUUGGAUUGUGGAACCUCUACUGAUCAUCUAAGACCUAACUUAAAUACCUCCUCCCUUGGGAGCUUUCCCUGAUUUUCUCCCUUUCUCGCUGUCAUUUUUGUAAUGACCCAGUACUUAUGUAGAUUUUCCUUAGGGUGUUUGUUUAUUAUAUCGCCAUCAUUAUUCUUCACACAAGUUCCGCUGUGUCCUCUCCUUGAAGGCAGGUCUGUAUCUUACUCUUCAUAUACCUGGGAUCUAGCAGAGUGGCUGACACUUAGUAGGUUCUCAAUAAACCUUGUGGAAUGAAUGGAAGAGGGAGUAAUCCUUACUUCAUUCCCUCCUAAAUGCCUUUUUAGACCAGAUGUCACAGAGGUUGAGGCACCAAAACCUUAGAAGACAGGGACUGGGGGUGCCCAGGUGGCUCAGUCGUGGGGUGUCUGCCUUCAGUUCAGGUCAUGAUGCCAGGGUCCUGGGAUCGAGCCCCGCAUCGGGCUCCCUGCUCAGAGGGAGGCCUGCUUCUCCUCUCCCACUGCCCUUGCUUGCGCUCCCUCUCUUGCUGUCUCUCUCUCUCUCUGUGUUAAAUAAAUAAAUGAAAAAAAUCUUAAAAAAGAAAAGAAGAAGAAGACAAGGACUAGGAAGGAGCUCGUCUCCACAGGGACAGCACUGAGCGGAGCACUGGACAUCUUCCAUGCACGCCCUAGUGCGAGGCAAGGGAAGGAUUUCUUCAUCUGAGCCCGACUUCACUUAAGUGCCCAACCUUGGACAAGUCACUCCAGUUCUCCAAUGGUCAGUUUUCUCAUCUGCAAAGUGGGAAUCCUAAUAGGACCUACCUCAUAGGGUGGCUGUGAGAACGAACUGAGUUUACUCCUAUGACACACCCAAGCACGGCGACUUAACACUUAGGACGUGCUUAAUAAUCCUUAGAUAUUAUCAUUAGCUACUCUAAAACUGAGAUCUGUAUAACACACCCAUUUUUUUUUAAAGAUUUUAUUUAUUUCCCCCCUCUCUCUGCUUGUCUGUCUGCCUGCUUGUGAUCUCUUUCUGUCAAAUAAAUAAAUAAAAUCUUAAAAAAAAAAAAAAAAGAAGUCACGGGGAUGAAAAAUACAGCGUAGGACGUGUAGUCAAUGGUAUUGUAAUAGCGUAUACGGUGACAGAUGGGAGCGACACUUGUGGGAGUGUGGCAUAAGGUCACCAUGUUGUACACCUGAAACUAAUGUUACAUUGUGUACCAACUAUAAUUUAAUGAAAAAAAAAAUCUGUUAUCCUCAUUACUUCUAGAAAAUGGGACCCUGAGUCCCCAGGCUGGCUUUUCCAAGCAUCAGCUUGCCCCAUUCCUAUGGAUUUCUCUUGCUCUGUGUUGGGUACCGGAGGCGCUUAGAUUGUGACCCUGUCUUGACCUGAGGCCUUCACCAGGCCCCUGGGAUUCUCGUGGCCCAGCUUUGCUGGAAGUCACUUCCAUAGUCGUAGUUAAGGUCUGAGGAGCCGUGGCUUCUUGUUUGCUUCCACUGAAGUGACCUCAUGCUUUCAAAAUCUCAGGCAAAGUGAAAAGUAUAAAUUUUGAAGGCCAAGAGUCCCUGGAUUGCUGUUUUAUGUGACAGCUUAAUGGAAGAGUAAUCUCAAGGAGCAGUUGGAGAAGGACUUGUAUGUGAAGCAGUUGAGAGGUUUUUUGUCUGCUCUAUUUUUGUUAACUUCCUAAACCCAUUUGCACUCUAAAAGUUUUUAUCCUCUCUCCUGCAAACUCAAAUACAGCACUUCUUACUGAUUUUUAUUAACUCAAAAUAUUUCUGAAUUCUACAGCCUCUAAGCUACGUCAUGGAAGAAGGAGAUGGGUAUACAGAAAAACAUGUUUAUUUGAAUUGUAUUCUUCUAUCUGUAUUACCAGCUUACUAUUUUCUCCUAGACAUCUUUAUUCGCAAGUAAAAUAAAGAUCCAUUUCAUAACUUGCUAAGAUAUCUACCAAUUAAAGAAUCAGCAGAAUAGAGAGUGGUAAAGAUGAUAAUAAUUCUUUAACUUUGACCAAAGUUUUUGAGUGGGAAAAAUAUGACAUAAAGGAAGCCCAGGGAAUCUCCUUCUGCUUCUAUACCCUUAGCAGAAUGGAACAAUGUCUCCUGAACCUGAAGGUAAUUAACUUAUUUCAAUAAAAAUGAACAAAAAUAGAGUGUAUGUAUGUUAAAAUUCAGUGAGAUAUUUAAGAUUCCUCACCAGGAAGAUUUUAAGUCUAUCAGGUUAGACAAUUACUUGGACAUUCAGGGGAAAAACAAACAAACAAGUAAUUGCUGACGACAGCAACAACAAGCAAAAAUAAACAAUGAGACCAAACUUUUCGCCUCCUAUCAAAGAAGUGUCAAUAUUUUCUCCUUUCCAUUACCUAUGCAAAAUUGGGCUUUGAAGGGUAGCUACUUCCUGAUCAUUCUAGGACGAGCUCCUCCCAGCGGAUGCUUCUGGUUUU